UGUCUAUUUACUAUAUAUUUAAUUUCACAAAUUAAUGAUAAUUAUUUUAUGCCUAAAAUAAUUAUAAGUCCAACUGCUGUCAGUAAGAAAUAAGGGUAGGAACCAGGUGAAUUUGACGAAUUUAUAAGAAUAGUUAGAUAAGUUAAUAAUUCAUAAUAUUUUUACUGUAGACACAUAUAUGUGUCUAGUAUGUUAGUUAAAAAUUUC
rnacentral:lncRNA from 1 species